GACGAACGCUGGCGGCGUGCUUAACACAUGCAAGUCGAACGGAAAGGCCCUGCUUUUGUGGGGUGCUCGAGUGGCGAACGGGUGAGUAACACGUGAGUAACCUGCCCUUGCCUUUGGGAUAACUUCAGGAAACUGGGGCUAAUACCGGAUAGGAGCUCCUGCUGCAUGGUGGGGGUUGGAAAGUUUCGGCGGUUGGGGAUGGACUCGCGGCUUAUCAGCUUGUUGGUGGGGUAGUGGCUUACCAAGGCUUUGACGGGUAGCCGGCCUGAGAGGGUGACCGGCCACAUUGGGACUGAGAUACGGCCCAGACUCCUACAGGAGGCAGCAGUGGGGAAUAUUGCACAAUGGGCGGAAGCCUGAUGCAGCAACGCCGCGUGCGGGAUGAAGGCCUUCGGGUUGUAAACCGCUUUCGCCUGUGACGAAGCGUGAGUGACGGUAAUGGGUAAAGAAGCACCGGCUAACUACGUG
rnacentral:rRNA from 1 species